ACUUGGCUGGCUCAGUCGGUAGAGCAUGAGACUCUUAAUCUCAGUGUCAUGAGUCCAAGCCCCAUGAUAUUUA
rnacentral:tRNA from 1 species